UUAAGCUAGAAAGAGCGCAGGGUGGAUGCCUUGGCACUAAGAGCCGAUGAAAGACGUGAUAAGCUGCGAAAAGCUUCGGGGAGGAGCAAAUAUCCUUUGAUCCGGAGAUCUCUGAAUGGGGAAACCUACUUGAGUGUACCUCAAGUGACGUAUGGUGAAUACAUAGCCAUACGCCGGGAACCCGGUGAACUGAAACAUCUAAGUAGCCGGAGGAAGAGAAAGAAACAUCGAUUCCGAAAGUAGCGGCGAGCGAAAUUGGAAGAGCCCAAACCGGAAUGCGUGCAUUCCGGGGUUAUGGACCACGUUAUGUGACCCGUAUGGUAAUGGAACAGUCUGGGAAGUCAGACCAGAGAGGGUGAAAGUCCCGUACAUGAAACCAGAAGGGAGCUAGUGGGAUCCAGAGUACUGCGAGACACGUGGAACCUUGCAGGAAGUCGGGGGGACCACCCCCCAAGGCUAAAUACUCCUUAGUGACCGAUAGCGCAUAGUACUGUGAAGGAAAGGUGAAAAGGACCCCGGGAGGGGAGUGAAAGAGAACCUGAAACCCUGUGUUUACAAGCUGUGGAAGCACGUUAAGGUGCAACCGCGUACUUUUUGUAGAACGGUCCGGCGAGUUGCGGAUGCUGGCGAGGUUAAGGAGUAAAGCUCCGGAGCCGAAGCGAGAGCGAGUCUUAAUAGGGCGUAAAGUCAGCAUGUGCAGACCCGAAACCGGGUGACCUAUCCAUGUCCAGGUUGAAGUUCCCGUAAAAGGGAAUGGAGGACCGAACGCACAUCCGUUGAAAAGGGUGGCGAUGAGGUGUGGAUAGGGGAGAAAUUCCAAUCGAACCCGGAGAUAGCUGGUUCUCCUCGAAAUAGCUUUAGGGCUAGCCUCGUAUUAGUUUAGCGGAGGUAGAGCACUGAAUUUCCUAGGGGGCGUCAAAGUCUACCGAAGAAUAUCAAACUCCGAAUGCCGCAUAAAUGAUGUACGGGAGUCAGACUGCACGAGAUAAGUUGGGUAGUCAAAAGGGAAAGAGCCCAGACCUACAGCUAAGGUCCCAAAGUGUGUGUUAAGUGGAAAAGGAUGUGGGAUUUCGAAGACAACUAGGAUGUUGGCUCAGAAGCAGCCACACAUUCAAAGAGUGCGUAAUAGCUCACUAGUCGAGAGGUCCUGCGCCGAAAAUGUCCGGGGCUGAAACACGACACCGAAGCUGUGGACUUGCCUAUGGCAAGUGGUAGAGGAGCAUUCUUAACUGCGGCGAAGCAGUACCGAUAAGGAGCUGUGGAGUGUUAAGAAGAGAGAAUGCCGGAAUGAGUAGCGAGAUGGAGGUGGGAAUCCUCCAGGCCGAAUAUCUAAGGUUUCCAGAGUAAAGCUGAUCUGCUCUGGGUAAGUCGGGACCUAAGGCAAGGUCGAAAGACGUAGUCGAUGGACAACAGGUUGAAAUUCCUGUACCACAUAUCAUCAGAACUGUGGGGACACAGGGCGAUAACCAGACCCGGGAAUGAAAAGACCGGGGCAAGCGAAGAAGGAGUUAAGCUGGCAAAUCCGCUUAACAAUCCGAAGGCGUGAUGCGGACCGAACAAAAGUAGGGAAGCUGGAGAUUCGAACUGUCAAGAAAAGCCGCUAUUGUGUGAUAUGUGCCCGUACCGUAAACCGACACAGGUGGAUGAGGAGAGAAUCCUAAGGCCGGCGGGAGAAGCAUUGUUAAGGAACUCGGCAAAAUGACCCUGUAACUUCGGGAUAAAGGGUGCCUGCGCAAGCAGGCCGCAGAGAAUAGGCUCAAGCAACUGUUUAGCAAAAACACAGGUCUAUGCAAAACCGAAAGGUGAGGUAUAUGGGCUGACGCCUGCCCGGUGCUGGAAGGUUAAGAGGAGAGGUUAGAGCAAUCGAAGCUUUGAAUUUAAGCCCCAGUAAACGGCGGCCGUAACUAUAACGGUCCUAAGGUAGCGAAAUUCCUUGUCGGGUAAGUUCCGACCCGCACGAAAGGCGUAAUGAUUUGGGCACUGUCUCAACAACACAC
rnacentral:rRNA from 1 species